rnacentral:rRNA from 1 species
CCUACGGGUGGCAGCAGUGAGGAAUAUUGGUCAAUGGGCGCGAGCCUGAACCAGCCAAGUAGCGUGAAGGAUGACUGCCCUACGGGUUGUAAACUCCUUUUAUAAGGGAAUAAAGUGAGGCACGUGUGCCCUCCUGUAUGUACUUUAUGAAUAAGGACCGGCUAAUUCCGUGCCAGCAGCCGCGGUAAUCCGGAGGAGCCGAGCGUUAUCCGGAUUUAUUGGGUUGAAAGGGAGCGUAGAUGGGUUGUUAAGUCAGUUGGGAAAGUUUGCGGCUCAAACGUAGAAUUGCAAUUGAUACUGGCAGGCUUGAGUGCAGUUGAGGUAGGCGGAAUUCGUGGUGUAGCGGUGAAAUGCUUAGAUAUCACGAAGAACCCCGAUUGCGAAGGCAGCUUACUAAACUGUGACUGACAUUGAUGCUCGAAAGUGUGGGUAUCAAACAGGAUUAGAUACCCGAGUAGUC